UCAAGUGAAGAAGCGCAUACGGUGGAUGCCUUGGCAGUCAGAGGCGAUGAAAGACGUGGUAGCCUGCGAAAAGCUUCGGGGAGUCGGCAAACAGACUUUGAUCCGGAGAUCUCUGAAUGGGGGAACCCACCUAGGAUAACCUAGGUAUCUUGUACUGAAUCCAUAGGUGCAAGAGGCGAACCAGGGGAACUGAAACAUCUAAGUACCCUGAGGAAAAGAAAUCAACCGAGAUUCCCUUAGUAGUGGCGAGCGAACGGGGAUUAGCCCUUAAGCUUCAUUGAUUUUAGCGGAACGCUCUGGAAAGUGCGGCCAUAGUGGGUGAUAGCCCCGUACGCGAAAGGAUCUUUGAAGUGAAAUCGAGUAGGACGGAGCACGAGAAACUUUGUCUGAACAUGGGGGGACCAUCCUCCAAGGCUAAAUACUACUGACUGACCGAUAGUGAACCAGUACCGUGAGGGAAAGGCGAAAAGAACCCCGGAGAGGGGAGUGAAAUAGAACCUGAAACCGUAUGCGUACAAGCAGUGGGAGCCUACUUGUUAGGUGACUGCGUACCUUUUGUAUAAUGGGUCAGCGACUUAUAUUCAGUGGCAAGCUUAACCGUAUAGGGUAGGCGUAGCGAAAGCGAGUCUUAAUAGGGCGUUUAGUCGCUGGGUAUAGACCCGAAACCGGGCGAUCUAUCCAUGAGCAGGUUGAAGGUUAGGUAACACUGACUGGAGGACCGAACCCACUCCCGUUGAAAAGGUAGGGGAUGACUUGUGGAUCGGAGUGAAAGGCUAAUCAAGCUCGGAGAUAGCUGGUUCUCCUCGAAAGCUAUUUAGGUAGCGCCUCAUGUAUCACUCUGGGGGGUAGAGCACUGUUUCGGCUAGGGGGUCAUCCCGACUUACCAAACCGAUGCAAACUCCGAAUACCCAGAAGUGCCGAGCAUGGGAGACACACGGCGGGUGCUAACGUCCGUCGUGAAAAGGGAAACAACCCAGACCGCCAGCUAAGGUCCCAAAGUUGUGGUUAAGUGGUAAACGAUGUGGGAAGGCUUAGACAGCUAGGAGGUUGGCUUAGAAGCAGCCACCCUUUAAAGAAAGCGUAAUAGCUCACUAGUCGAGUCGGCCUGCGCGGAAGAUGUAACGGGGCUCAAACCACACACCGAAGCUGCGGGUGUCACGUAAGUGACGCGGUAGAGGAGCGUUCUGUAAGCCUGUGAAGGUGAGUUGAGAAGCUUGCUGGAGGUAUCAGAAGUGCGAAUGCUGACAUGAGUAACGACAAUGGGUGUGAAAAACACCCACGCCGAAAGACCAAGGGUUCCUGCGCAACGUUAAUCGACGCAGGGUUAGUCGGUUCCUAAGGCGAGGCUGAAAAGCGUAGUCGAUGGGAAACAGGUUAAUAUUCCUGUACUUCUGGUUACUGCGAUGGAGGGACGGAGAAGGCUAGGCCAGCUUGGCGUUGGUUGUCCAAGUUUAAGGUGGUAGGCUGAAAUCUUAGGUAAAUCCGGGGUUUCAAGGCCGAGAGCUGAUGACGAGUCGUCUUUUAGAUGACGAAGUGGUUGAUGCCAUGCUUCCAAGAAAAGCUUCUAAGCUUCAGGUAACCAGGAACCGUACCCCAAACCGACACAGGUGGUCGGGUAGAGAAUACCAAGGCGCUUGAGAGAACUCGGGUGAAGGAACUAGGCAAAAUGGCACCGUAACUUCGGGAGAAGGUGCGCCGGCUAGGGUGAAGGAUUUACUCCGUAAGCCCUGGCUGGUCGAAGAUACCAGGCCGCUGCGACUGUUUAUUAAAAACACAGCACUCUGCAAACACGAAAGUGGACGUAUAGGGUGUGACGCCUGCCCGGUGCCGGAAGGUUAAUUGAUGGGGUUAGCGCAAGCGAAGCUCUUGAUCGAAGCCCCGGUAAACGGCGGCCGUAACUAUAACGGUCCUAAGGUAGCGAAAUUCCUUGUCGGGUAAGUUCCGACCUGCACGAAUGGCGUAACGAUGGCGGCGCUGUCUCCACCCGAGACUCAGUGAAAUUGAAAUCGCUGUGAAGAUGCAGUGUAUCCGCGGCUAGACGGAAAGACCCCGUGAACCUUUACUGUAGCUUUGCACUGGACUUUGAGCCUGCUUGUGUAGGAUAGGUGGGCUUUGAAGCGUGGACGCCAGUUCGCGUGGAGCCAUCCUUGAAAUACCACCCUGGCAUGCGUCAGCGAAAAAGACCUGGUGAUGAUCGAUCCGCUCGCGGCGGCCUAAUACUUUUUUUUCGGAGAAGUGUUUGACGAAAAAAAGCGUGAGACCUACUGCGACUAGGGAUGCGUUCAACGUGCCCCCUCAAAACCUGCGUUACUGCUUUGCCAAUCCGGGGUGUGGUCUAGGGAAUCACUUUUUCGUGGCCAUUUCGGCCGCUAUUCGAAUGGGGCCUGCGGUUCAAGAAACCCGUACACCGGGUCAUGCUCUUGUCCCAAUGGAAGCUCGGAAAACCAAGUAUGGGUAUAUAGCUACUUCGAAGUGACUCCAGGCAACACAGGCUACUCUCUUUUUAUGUGCUACUAAUCGCAUUGCCAAUCCGGAGUGUGGGCUCGAACUGCAGCGUCGGUGAGGCUUAAUACCUCCGCAGGGGUUGUACGUGACUGGUGUACGUUGCAUGGCGCGGAUACGGGGAUGAUGUUUUACGACUACACCCGUUACGCCAUCACCUGCGGAGGAAGAUUCUGCGCCGUAGGCUCAAUCAA
rnacentral:rRNA from 1 species